UACAGAGGUCUCGAGCGUUGUUCGGAAUCACUGGGCUUAAAGGGCGCGUAGGCGGGUGUGCAAGUCUGUGGUGAAAGCCUCCAGCUUAACUGGAGAAGUGCCAUGGAUACUGCACAUCUUGAGGAGGGUAGGGGCAUCUGGAACGGUCGGUGGAGCGGUGAAAUGCGUUGAUAUCGACCGGAACUCCGGUGGCGAAGGCGAGGUGCUGGACCCUUUCUGACGCUGAGGCGCGAAAGCCAGGGGAGCAAACGGG
rnacentral:rRNA from 1 species